UACAGAGGGUGCGGGCGUUAAUCGGAAUUACUGGGCGUAAAGCGUGCGUAGACGGUUAUUUAAGUCGGGUGUGAAAGCCCCGGGCUCAACCUGGGAAUUGCAUUCGAGACUGAAUAGCUAGGGUACGGUAGAGGGAAGUGGAAUUUCCGGUGUAGCGGUGAAAUGCGUAGAUAUCGGAAGGAACAUCAGUGGCGAAGGCAGGUCUCUGGGCAUUAACUGACGCUGAGGAGCGAAAGCAUGGGGAGCGAACAGG
rnacentral:rRNA from 1 species